rnacentral:lncRNA from 1 species
GCCGGCUGAAUGGAUUCGAAAACGGUAAAACUCAACUGUUUAACUCUAGGGGAGUUGGAAAAUGAGUCUAUUUUCAAAAAUAGUGGAGUGUUCCUUUAAGCUAAAGGUCAUGUUAUUGACAGUGAAGUGUUAUGCUUACACAGGCCUUCCGCCUGAAAUCCUGGCGCUAUGGAAACAGGCUGCGGUCCUGAGGCCCAUCCCACCGUCCCGGCAGCGCAGGGAGGUUCCUGUAGCUGAGGAAAUACCAGAGAGAGAGCAGGAGAGACCAGAACCAGGACAGAGAGAGGAGGAGAGAGAGCUUAGCUCAAAAGAGAUUCCCAGAGAAAUGUUGGAGUCUGGCCUCUUCCAGCAAGAAACGCCGGCCUCUCUGGUGGUUUUGGAGACGACAGACAAGGAUUUCUCUCCACUGGAGACUCCUGAAAUGAGACGGUGAGAGGAGAGAUGCUAAAAGAGAGACAGAAAUAGCUGUCGCU